rnacentral:rRNA from 1 species
AUUGAACGCUGGCGGCAGGCCUAACACAUGCAAGUCGAGCGAGCGGCGGACGGGUGAGUAAUGUCUGGGAAACUGCCUGAUGGAGGGGGAUAACUACUGGAAACGGUAGCUAAUACCGCAUACCAUCAGAUGUGCCCAGAUGGGAUUAGCUAGUAGGUGGGGUAACGGCUCACCUAGGCGACGAUCCCUAGCUGGUCUGAGAGGUUGACCAGCCACACUGGACGUGAGACACUUCCCAGACGCCUACGGGAGGCUGCAGAGGUGAAUUUUGCACAAUGGGCGCAAGCCUUAUGCAGCCAUGCCGCGUGUAUGAAGAAGGCCUUCGGGUUGUAAAGCACUUUCAGCGGGGAGGCGUUACCCGCAGAAGAAGCACCGGCUAACUCCGUGCCAGCAGCCGCGGUAAUAC